GAUGAACGCUGGCGGUCUGCUUAACACAUGCAAGUCGAACGGAAGUAGCAAUACUUUAGUGGCGGACGGGUGAGUAACACGUAAGAAUCUGCCUCCAGGACGGGAAAAACAGUUGGAAACGACUGCUAAUUCCGGAUGAGCCGAAAGGUAAAAAGAAAUUCGCCUGGAGAUGAGCUUGCGGCUGUUUAGCUAGUUGGUAGGGUAAGAGCCUACCAAGGCGACGAUCAGUAGCUGGUCUGAGAGGAUGAGCAGCCACACUGGGACUGAGACACGGCCCAGACUCCUACGGGAGGCAGCAGUGGGGAAUUUUCCGCAAUGGGCGAAAGCCUGACGGAGCAAGACCGCGUGGGGGAGGAAGGUUCUUGGAUUAUCAACCCCUUUUCUCAAGGAAGAAGAUCUGACGGUACUUGAGGAAUCAGCAUCGGCUAACUCCGUGCCAGCAGCCGCCGUAAUAC
rnacentral:rRNA from 1 species